rnacentral:tRNA from 1 species
GCGGGUGUAGUUCAAUGGCAGAACGGCAGCUUCCCAAGCUGCAUAUAAGGGUUCGAUUCCCAUCGCCCGCUCCA